rnacentral:lncRNA from 1 species
AUGGACCCUAGUUGGAAGAAAAGAAAGGGUGGCGCUGAAAGAGCCAGGGACCAGAAAAAAGCAGCCCUUCAGGCAGAUGCUACGAAAUGCCUAAACAUAGCUGAUAUGUUUGCUGCUCGUGGACAUGGAGCCUCCACAUCUGCAGCAGCAGCAUCAACAGGUAGUGGAGGAGAAGAUGCUCGACAGCAGGUGGACGAGGCGGCCAUGACGGUUCCCAUGCUUAAGGAGUGCUGGGUGUUGCUGCUGAGAAGAGACAGAUGGGGUAGCAUCAGCAUCUCUCCCACUUGUUGGAUUGUGUGUGUGUGUGUGUGUGUGUGUGUGUGUGUGUGUGUGUGUGUGUGUGUGUGUGUGUGUUCUGGUCCAUUUGAAAGCUCUAAUUGGUUUGCAUGCUGCAUGUAAGUUACCCAUUCCUUUUCGUUUUAAUGUUUGUUUUAUUGAUAUUCAUAUUCUUAAUAUACAGUAUAAUUGUGUAUUUAUUUACUUUAUUUUUUCUAUUUAUUUUGUACAGUUAAGUUAAGCAAUUUAUUUUAUUUUGUACAGUUAAGUAAUUAUUGACUCAUUGUAAAUAUAAGUGUUUAACUUCAAUUGUUAUGUGUGUCAUCACUUUUUAUUUUAUAUUCAAAAUUAAAUGGAUGAAAAUCCUAUUCUUUCCAAGUCCUGGCAUAAUUUCCCACACCUAACAUUUUAUUUUGUAUUGACAGUUGAUUAGCAACACAAAUUGGUAAUAAGAGAAAUCCUUGCUGUUACUUGUAGCUUGUAGUGAGAUAAACAUCUUGUGGCCUUUUUGUGUAUUGCAAUUUUAGGUCUUUAGCCUUUGCAUCCAGUCAUUGGUACAGUCAUCCAGUCAUUUCUUGCUUUAAUAAUGCAUUGUAUCACACAAGUAAUGAUAUAUUAUUCAUAGUUUAGCCUACAGUAUUACAUUUAUUAUAAUUAUAUUAACUAAAAUGAAUUAAUUAAUAUUUAAUAUAAUUCCUUUACUUAAAUUUAAGUAACAAGGUUGAAAGAAAUGACCUGUCUAAAAAGUAAUGUGACCUACGGUCAAUAGAUCAUACUUUUGAUAAGCCUAACAGUAUUUUGGGAGAACUUUUCAUAAUGCUUCUCAUAGUGUUAAAAUGUUUGUCUCCUAGUGCACAUUGAUCGUUUAAGGCAG